UACAGAGGGUGCAAGCGUUAAUCGGAAUUACUGGGCGUAAAGCGUGCGUAGACGGUUACAUAAGUCAGGUGUGAAAGCCCCGGGCUCAACCUGGGAAUUGCAUUUGAGACUGUGUAGCUAGGGUGCGGAAGAGGGAAGCGGAAUUUCAGGUGUAGCGGUGAAAUGCGUAGAUAUCUGGAGGAACACCGGUGGCGAAGGCGGCUCUCUGGGACGGUACUGACGCUGAGACGCGAAAGCGUGGGGAGCGAACAGG
rnacentral:rRNA from 1 species